rnacentral:rRNA from 1 species
UACAGAGGGUGCAAGCGUUACUCGGAAUCACUGGGCGUAAAGCGUGCGUAGGCGGUUCGUUAAGUCUGCUGUGAAAGCCCUGGGCUCAACCUGGGAACUGCAGUGGAUACUGGCGGACUAGAGUGUGAUAGAGGAUGGUGGAAUUCCCGGUGUAGCGGUGAAAUGCGUAGAGAUCGGGAGGAACACCAGUGGCGAAGGCGGCCAUCUGGAUCAACACUGACGCUGAGGCACGAAAGCGUGGGGAGCAAACAGG